rnacentral:tRNA from 1 species
CGGGAUGUGGCGUAGUUUGGUAGCGCGCCUGACUUGGGAUCAGGAGGUCAUAGGUUCAAAUCCUAUCAUCCCGA